rnacentral:rRNA from 1 species
UACGUAGGGUCCAAGCGUUAUCCGGAAUCACUGGGCGUAAAGGGUGCGUAGGCGGCCAUGUAAGUGGGGUGUGAAAUCCCUCGGCUCAACCGAGGAACUGCGCUCCAUACUGCAUGGCUUGAGGGAGACAGGGGUAAGCGGAACUGAUGGUGGAGCGGUGAAAUGCGUUGAUAUCAUCAGGAACACCGGUGGCGAAAGCGGCUUACUGGGUCUCUUCUGACGCUGAGGUACGAAAGCUAGGGGAGCGAACGGG